UUUAAUGCAUUACAAAAGUGUGCAUUUUUUAAAGUUGUUUCACUUCCUAUUUUCUCUCUACAAAACUCCCUGAAGUUAGGAGUGCUCUUGUGUUUCAUCUUGCAGUUUCAGCAGAACCCAGCCUUGAUUUUCCAUGCCCUGCUACUGCUUAUGAAACGUGAAGAAGAUGUUAGUUCAUGGGGGUGCACAGAUUAAAUAAACAAAUCCAUCGAAUGAAAUCUUUCUGGCACCAAGAAGCAAUUAAUCUAAUGAUGAAGCAUUUGUGAAGCAUAGAAUGGUUUGGGUUGGAAGGGACCUUAAAGAUCAUCAAGUUUCAACCCCACUGCCAUGGGCAAGGACACCUCCCACCAGACCAGGUUGCUCAAAGCCCCCUCCAGCCUGGCCUUGAACACCACAUCCACAACUGCGGAUUGGAAACAGAAAUGGCUUUGGAAAAGGUUGAAACAUUUUAGGAAAAAGUUACAGAUGUGACAGACACAAUAAUAAACAAAGACAAACAAGGAAUUUUACUAAUUCUUCAACUAACGAAGGAAUACCUCAAGCGUCCAAGUUGGUUCAGCAAAAAAAAGAGCCAUCAGAUCUACCCCUCCGGUGCAGCAUCAGCAAGACCAAACAGAAGCAGAAAGUGCUUCGUGUGCUCUUCUUUGCACUAGUCCUGUGAAGUGUGCAAAUAUUCAUACAGUUGAAUAUUUGCCAGUCCAGAACAUUUACCAGCGGACUCCGUUUUGAUAGCACAGUACCUGUGGGUAAGUCUGUAAGAGAAGAGAGGUCCCUGAAGAUGUCUAUUCCCAGGCAGUUCUGCCCAUCACACACAGCAUAAGACCUCAGGAGUCUUAAU
rnacentral:lncRNA from 1 species